rnacentral:lncRNA from 1 species
AUCUUAUUUUAGAAGUAAUUGGAUUAUUCCACUUUUACUGUUGUAUUUUGAAGAUUGCAAACUUUCCACCUUUAAAUAAAAAAUCUUGUUUUUAAUACUGAUCGACUAAUCCACUUGUUUCCUUCAACUACACAACUUCUUGACAUAGACUAUGGACUUCUUCUGUAGGUAUAAAAAUAGUACUUCCAUGGUUGAUGUUGGUGAUGCAUAAAUUUUUUGCCCUAAGAAUGUUGACAAGUUCAUAAAGAUCUGCAAUAGUUGCAAAUUUAUUCUCACUUUUGCUCGGAGUAGCAUCCAUAAUCUUUCCUUUCAAAGACAAUUCAAACAAAUUUAAAAAGCUAAAUUAGAGGAAGGUAAUCCACAACUUCUAAUAAAAAUUUCUACAAAGAAGGAUAAUCCACUCUCUUGAAGAUAAUGUCAAAGUUUUCUUAUUAACAAUGCCAAAAGCUAAAUCUUUGAAACAAUUUAUUGCUCAAGCCAUUGUAUAUAAUAAUAGAUUAUUUGAAGGAUGUCAAGAACAAAGACUUGGCUGGAGAGAAACAAGUCAAGUAAUAGUGACAACAACCAAGUUUUCUGAAAUAUAUUCAUCAAGGCUAGAACUAGUGCAAAUUCAUACAAUAC